UGACUAGUAGCCACAAAAUGGGUUAUCCAAUCCACUUGACUAUUACAAUCUUCGUCUGCUGAGGCCACUGUUUGAUGAGUAUUCAAAUGGGACAUAAUUCCUUUAACAUUUUUUGCCAAUCCAGAGAGGUCUAUCCACAUACCUCUUCUCCAGACCUUGUCCUAUUUUCCAAUCAUGGUCAAGUCCCUUACCUUAUAGCGAAACCAUUGGUCACAGCCCAUGAAUCAGUACCCAGCCACACAUCUGACUAUUUCUUUUUCCAAGUGAAAUGAACAACCACGUGUGCUGCUUGAAGUUCUGCCCACUGAGAGAAUUUCUCUUCACCACUGUGCUUCAGGGAUGUCCCAGAGUGGGGCUGUAGCACUGCUGCUGUCCAUUUCCAAGUGAUGCCUGCAUAUCGUGCAGAACCAUCUGUAAAUCAGGAUUAUUUUCUUUUUCUCUGUGAAGGGAUCCUAUGGAACUCCCCAUGAGACACACUCACAUUAUGGAGGGUAAUCUGCUUUACUCACAGUCUGAUUUAAAUGUUAAUCUCAUCUAAAAUACCUAUUCACAACAACAUCCAGACUUAUAUUUGCCCAAAUAUCUGGGUACCAUGGCCCAGCCAAGGUGACAAAUAAAAUUAACCAUCACGAUCAGGGAUGCAAUAGAGGGGGCUUCUGUUCAGGGAGGCAGUCUGGACUAAGCUUCCAAGAGGACUUCUGGCUUGCAAAUUGCAAUCUCUGAUUUGUUCAGCUAAUGCUACCGCCAGGUGCUCCUCCCUUCAGUGUGGACCUAGAAAAGGUAUUCUUUCUCUAUGGCAGUGGUUCUUAAGCUCUUCAGUGCAUGAGAAUCACCUGAAGGACUUGUUGAAACACCAAUUGUGGGGCUGCAUCAUGAAUUUCUGAUUUAGCAGUUUGGGGAUGAGCCUCCAAAUCUGCAUUUGUAACACAUUCCCAGGGGUUGCUGAUGCCGCUGGCCCAGGGACCACUCUUUGAGAACCCCUCUCCUAUGGGUUCACUAAUUUCAUGAAUGAUAACUGGUGUAUUGUUGAAAAAGCACCAGGCUAGGAGAUAGGAGACCUGAGUUCUUGCCACUUGCUACUUCAUCUAGCUGUGAGUAUGUGGGCAAGUCACUUGCCCUCUCUGGGCUUUCCUCAUCCCUAAAAAGAGACAAGUCACUGGUGUCUAUCUUUUUAGGACAGUGGGCCUCCUUCAAUCAGCUUUCCUUUUGGUGGGCACCAUGAUUUUGAGGGAUUAUUUUUUCCCCAGAAAUACAAUGUGUAUUUAAAUAGUAGCCUGGGUAGACUGAUUUAUGGCAAAUACCUAAUUUUCUUUGGUCUUUUUUGAAAUAAAAACAGUAGCUCAGGGAUCUCUGCAUCCAUAACCACUAAAUUAAAUGAUAUUUACAAUUUCCUCUCAUAGCUCAAAGAAUGUGACGUUCGAGAACAAUCAGGACACAAUGCCAAGCCUUAACUUUUGGGAUGAUUAUGAGCUUUGGUGCCUGCUGAGGUUGCCAAUAGCUUGUUGAGGAUGCUGUCUGGGGCAUUUCAGGUUAUUAGCUGGGAAUUUGACUACGUGGCUUUCGAGGUUUCUUAGCUCUAAGACCAUGGUUUUCGGCCCCCACAGACUCUUCCAGGUCAUCCCUUGGGGCCCACAGUUGAGAGUUUAGAGUUGGUGCUAAUUCAAAGGUUUUAGGGUUCAUCUUCCAGGCAUGUUCUUCAGGAGGAGCAUUAGCGUCUCAAAGAGAUUAACGAGUUAAAUGAGUGUAGGUGCUUCCUGUUAGACUUUUGUUAAGCAGAAUGAGCUCAGAUGUGUCCUAUGUUGAUAAAUAUAUCACCUGAGCCUCACACACCCAGAAGGGAUGACUGCUGAACAUCUGGGCCUCUGCUAGCUGCUGGAAUCCCUGCCUAUGCUGGUUGGCAACACCUCUGUACUCACAUCUUUUCCAGCUAAGUGAACGGUUAGCUUAUGCUAAAAACACGUGUGAGUGUGAUCAUUUGUGUGCAACGCAUGGAGUCGAACCGCUACCAUUUGGUAGGGUGGGGGAGGGGAAGGUUGCUGUUUUGAAUAUGCUUUUCUUUGAAAGCAUGAAAAACCAAAUGUGUCUGUGAAUUGGAGUACAUUUUAGAGACUUUCCCUAUACAUUCAAGUUCAUAAGAUCCUUUUUUAUACAAGUGUUUUCUAAGCACUAACUGCCUCCCAGGUUCAAUGUGAACUCCUGAGAAAAUGUCAUUUUGGCCCCAGUUCCUCACAGUUGAGCAAGGCAGCCAGUCUAAACAGACAUUAACGGAAAUGCAGAAAGCUAAAGUGGGGACUGAUGAGGAAGAAAAUUACCUCCCUGGGGGCUGUCAGGAAAAGCUGCUCUUCAGACCAGCUAAAUAGCUAACUUUGGGACUGAUACAAGCAAGGUAAGCCUUUCAAAUGGGAAAAUCAAUGGAUGUUUUAAUGCUGG
rnacentral:lncRNA from 1 species